UGCGGGGAAGGCAACCGGGUAGCCGCGUGGCUCAUAACCACGAGACGCUGGGUUCGACUCCCAGCCCCGCAACCA
rnacentral:tRNA from 1 species